GACGAACGCUGGCGGCGUGCUUAACACAUGCAAGUCGAACGGGAAGGCCCGGCUUUGGUGUGUUUCUCGAGUGGCGAACGGGUGAGUAACACGUGAGUAACCUGCCCUGGACUUUGGGAUAACUUCAGGAAACCGGGGCUAAUACCGGAUAGGAGCUCCUACUGCAUGGUCGGGGGUGGAAGGGUUCGGCGGUGGGGGAUGGACUCGCGGCGUAUCAGCUUGUUGGUGGGGUAGUGGCUUACCAAGGCGUUGACGGGUAGCCGGCCUGCGAGGGUGAUCGGCCACCUUGGGACUGAGAUGCGGCCCCGCCUCCUCCGGGAGGCAGCAGUGGGGAAUAUUGCACAAUGGGCGGCAGCCUGAUGCAGCAGCGCCGCGUGGGGGAUGAAGGCCUUCGGGUUGUAAACCGCUUUCGUCUGCGAAGAAGAGGCAGUGACGGUAACGGGUGAAGAAGCACCGGCUAACUCCGUG
rnacentral:rRNA from 1 species